rnacentral:tRNA from 1 species
AGUAAAGUCAGCUAAUCAAGCUCUUGGGCCCAUACCCCAAAUAUGUUGGUUAAACUCCUUCCUCUACUA